rnacentral:tRNA from 1 species
AGGGACUUAGCUCAGUAGCACAGCGCCUGCCUGGCAAGCAAGAGGGCCUGAGUUCAAAUCCCAGGCCACCUG